AUUGAACGCUGGCGGCCGGCCUAACACAUGCAAGUCGAACGAGUGGCGGACGGGUGAGUAAUGUCUGGGAAACUGUCUGAUGGAGGGGGAUCACUACUGGACACGGUAUCUAAUACCGCAUACCAUCGGAUGUGCCCAUAUGGGAUUAGCUAGUAUGUGGGGUAAAGGCUCACCUAGGCGACGAUCCCUAGCUGGUCUGAGAGGCUGACCAGCCACACUGGAACUGAGACACGGUCCAGACUCCUACGGGAGGCAGCAGUGGGGAAUAUUGCACAAUGGGCGCAAGCCUGAUGCAGCCAUGCCGCGUGUGUGAAGAAGGCCUUCGGGUUGUAAAGUACUUUCAGCGGGGAGGCGUUACCCGCAGAAGAAGCACCGGCUAACUCCGUGCCAGCAGCCGCGGUAAUUC
rnacentral:rRNA from 1 species